rnacentral:rRNA from 1 species
AGCAGCCGCGGUAAUUCCAGCUCCAAUAGCGUAUAUUAAAGUUGUUGCAGUUAAAAAGCUCGUAGUUGAAUUUCGGGAUUCAUCCGUUGGUCGGGCUUCACGGUCCGUACUGGUGUGAUGGGUUCCUACCUUCUGAAUAACCGGCAUGCCAUUAAUUUGGUGCGCCGGGGAAGCAGAACUAUUACCUUGAAAAAAUUAGAGUGCUUAAAGCAGGCAAGUGCCUGAAUAGGUUAGCAUGGAAUAAUAAAAUAGGACGGCAUGGUUCUAUUUUGUUGGUUUCUAGGAUCACCGUAAUGAUUAAUAGGGAUAGUUGGGGGCAUUAGUAUUCAAUUGUCAGAGGUGAAAUUCUUGGAUUUAUUGAAGACUAACUUCUGCGAAAGCAUUUGCCAAGGAUGUUUUCAUUAAUCAAGAACGAAAGUUAGGGGAUCGAAGACGAUCAGAUACCGUCGUAGUCUUAACCAUAAACUAUGC